CAAAGACUGAAGAUUUCUGAAGAAGAAGCAAUCAUGCCUCAAUAAAGCAACCUAAGAAACCCUGCCUGAGUUUCCAGCCUGCUGGCCCAUCCUGCAGAUUUAGAACUGAAAACUACAUCAACUAAUUUGCCUGCAUUCCCACUUUACCAGCCAGCCCUACAGCUUUCAAACUUGCCAGCCCCUACAGUCAUUACUGGCAACAAGGAGGUGAAAUGUACAAGUAACCAUCGUAGCAGAACUCAGUCUUUAAAAAAGGUUUCAGUGGACCUAAGAAAAGGAAGUUUUAAGAGAGACCAUGGGAAGACUGCACAUUCUUGACAACCCAUCCACCUAUCCUGAGAAAGACAUUCUGUACCUAUUCCACCUUCAGAAAAUAAACACUGUCAAU
ensembl:lncRNA novel transcript